GUUAGGAAUAUUGGACAAUGGGCGCAAGCCUGAUCCAGCCAUGCCGCGUGAACGAUGAAGGCCUUCGGGUUGUAAAGUUCUUUAGCCGAUGAUUAUAAUGACUGUAGUCGGAAAAUAAGCCCCGGCUAACUACGUGCCAGCAGCCGCGGUAAUACGAAGGGGGCGAGCGUUAUUCGGAAUCACUGGGCGUAAAGCGUGCGUAGGCGGUCUCGUAAGUUAGGAGUGAAAGCCCAGGGCUCAACCUUGGAAUUGCUCUUAAAACUGCAAGGCUAGAAUCUCGGAGAGGAUAGCGGAAUUUCCAGUGUAGCAGUGAAAUGCGUAGAUAUUGGAAGGAACACCAGUGGCGUAAGCGGCUAUCUGGACGAGUAUUGACGCUGAGGCACGAAAGCGUGGGGAUCAAACAGGAUUAGAAACCCUGGUAGUCC
rnacentral:rRNA from 1 species